UUUUUUCAUUUAUUGUUGUGCUUUUAUAAUGCUCGUUUGUUCGUUUUUUUUUCCUAAAACCAAUCGCUCAGACUAAAACACCGUACCAGCUUUAGUAUGACGUCAAGAUGACAUAUCAAUGUCAUCUAUCCUUGUUUUGAUUGGCUAAAAUACCAUCUACUUGAAUUCCGAUUGGUUUAUAAUUUUGGCACUUGAAUGGCUUUUAUUCAACUGACAAUCGCCAUGAAGAUGUUAAAUUCGUAAAUACUUACUUUCAAGUUCUAUAAAUUCAGGCGUAUAUUCCUCACGAUUGGAACAGCCUUCCGGCACACACCGCUAGUGCCAGUUCAUUACUUUUAAGACCUUAGUUUCGAAAUAGAGCUGUAUAGAUUAUUAUAAUGUAAUGUUUUAGUCUUAUUUAUUUAUGUAUAUUAAUUUAUCUUGGUAUAAUGCAACUCAGCUUACAGUAACCGAGCAUUAAAACUGAGAAUUCGUGGUCUAACAAGCAAUUUGAGCAUAACAACAUCCUUUGAUAUUCUUCGUUCUCUCUUUACUUUAUUGACAGCGUUGAGAUAUUUAAUCAAGGCUGACAAUCAAUCAAUCAAUCAAUGAUUUAUUUUUGCACUAUUUGAAGUUGAGUUAAUGCUUUACAAAGUGGACUUGGCAGAUUAGAAAAUAUUAGUUAAAUGAAAUUUUGUAAUGAGAUUAGUGUGCGUAGUGACGAAAGGAGCGAAAAGCUUUCGAGUUGGUCACUAUCACAGUUAUUCGUACCAUGAGAAUUCGGGAAAGUUCAUUUUACAGUAUUUUUAUAAUUAUCUGUUUUUGUAUAUUUUUCUAUACAUGUGUCGCUACACUAAGAAAUAACUAGCUAACCUGGACUGGACAAAAAAAAGAUAUAUAAUAAUAAUAGGAAUGAAAAUUAAAUAAAUAAAUAAAUGCGAGUACUAUGAUCGGGUCAACUCAUCACAAGCUACCCCUGGCUGCCAAGGUAAAAGUGCUUUAUUUGUCUAAGGAAGGACCUAUAGGGAAGUUUUUUUUAUAGGCAAUGGUAUUUCUGUCCCAUAUUUUUGAAGAUAUGGCAGAAAAUCUCGACAGCCCAACAUUAGUUCUAGAAGCUGGUCUGCAUAAGUUGCCCUCGGAUGCAAAUCUUGUGUUAUGACCAUGUAUUUCCGAUGAAGGUAAAACUAAAUUUGAUAGGGCUUGUGGGGUAUUGUUCAUUGGGUCUUUUAAUUUAUGCACCAGAGAGGAAACUUUGAUUUUGAGUAUAUUAUCCACAUUGUGAAUGUCUAGUAGUUUGUAAAGUUGAGAGACACUCUCAUCUCUUGUGGCAAAUAACAUUGUUUUUAUGCAUUUAUUUUGUUUUCUUUUGAUGGUCGAGAGACGAGUUUGGCAUGCGGUUCCCCAGCUCAUGAUUCCAUAUGAAAUGUAGGGAUAGAUUAGGUUGUAGUAAAGCCGCUUUAGAAGACUUAUGGAAAUAAGAUGUCGCAAUUUGUAAAUGAUGCCCAGAUUUUUUGGUAUUUUGCUGUUUAUAUGCAGGAUUUGGGGUUCCCAUUUAAGGUGAUUGUCAAUAAACAUGCCAAGAUAUUUAAUAGUACUUUUGUGCUCGAUAUCACAGGCUGUGACGGUGAUACUAACUUUCUUCCUAGGUGAUUUAAUAAUCAUGUAGUUAGUUUUCUAAAAGUUAAUGGAUAAUUUAUUUGCAUUGCAAUAUUUGAUUACAUUUAAUAGUUCAGUGUUAAUGGUUAUCUCAAAAUCUUUAAGAUCUUUAGAUGAAUAGAAAAUGUUUGUAUCGUCUGCAAAUAUCCUGAAUUACAGUUUUUUUGAGGAGUGUGGGAGGUCAUUGAUGUAUAGAAGAAAAAGCAAAGGUCCAAGUGUUGACCCGUGUGGGACUCCGCAGGUAUUUUGUUGAAGGUCCGAUUCAGUGUUUCCUAAUUUGACAAACUGUUUUCUUUCAUUUAGGUAGCUUGAAAACCAUUUUUGUGGGGUACCCCUAAUUCCAUAUUUGUACAUUUUAUCAAGUAAAAUGUUAUGGUUUAGGGUAUCAAAUGCCUUCGAGAAAUCAAGGAAAAUACCACAGGUUAAACCAACCAAGGACUACCUGAGGGUCAUGCUUGAUGCUAAAGGCUGGAAGACAUAAGAAUAGGCAAAUGUAGCCGGGCUUUCUUACUUUGAUACAGCAGUAUAGGUGUAAUAGGGUUUUUAGAGAAAGAUGCUUUGUGUCAAUGAUACUGUAAAUCUGUAACACAUUUUUUAUCAACCUGAAGAUAACGAGGAAAGGGGGAAUGAUAGGAGAGUGCUCAAUCAAGUUGUUGCAAUACUGUUAAAGUUUUUAUCAAAAAUAUAGUCCCAGUUUCUUUUUUCUCUCUCUAUUGACUAUUUUUAUAUGCAAUUGACAAUUAUUUGCAGUUACCCCUCUGCACCCUGGUUUGAAAUUAGACAUUUUCAUUUAGCACUAAUCAGUAAUAUCAAGUUUGCUUUUAAUUUGCUUCCCAAGUCUAUUUGUUCUCCUCCAUUUGAUUGCAUUUAAUUUUGCAGUAGCAUUAGCAUGUGUGGAUCCAGCUGCAGGGUUUCUAUAAAAUAAAAUAGACAGCAGGCCACCAUGCUAAAGGGUGGGUUCACCAAUAUGUAAUGCAUGACUGAGGUAUAUUUGUGGAUUUUAAUUUCCUUGGUGAUGGAGUAUCACUAGUAAAUGGCAAAUGAAGUGUAUCUAACUAUAUCAUUCUAUAUUUGGAAUGCUGUUUCAUCCAUUAUUUGUUUCUUUGCAAGGGCAAAGCCGGUCAGAAUGCACCUAGUGCUACUGUAGUAGUGUAUAUGAAUGGAACUUCUAUAAAAGGGUUUUUAUUAGGGCAAGGUACUUACUUAAUAAAUUAUAUAAAGAUAA